GCUGUGGGAAGGGGGGCUCAUAUCCAUGCGUUUGCAUCAUGCUCUGCAUAACUGCCUUCCCCCUUGGGACUUGAGGGGUAGCAGCUUGCAGCCCAGCCCUCAGGUGCCUCAGGAAUCAGAGAAGGCCUUUUCUGCAGCCCAGGCAAGGGCGGGGUCUGUCUGGGGCCAAGAUGAGGGUCCUCAGAGCAGCCUGCUUCUGGGCCGGCCAAGGCUUGCAGUGUCCGCCAGAGGGCAAAGGGCCACGAUGGGGCCUCUAGAGAAGUGGGAGAACCUGGCCCCUUCCUUGGCCACAAGGGGCUGGGGAGAGUGGGUUCAGAGGGCAGAUGUCCUCCUGCCCCGGGCGGCAGUGGUGGUGGUGGUGGGGGAGGUGUUCUCCUUGGGGACCAUCUCCACCCCCCAGAUGGCCAGUAUCCGGGAGGCCAGGUCACAGGGUGGAGCUUCUGGUCACAGAGAGGGUGGGGAUGGAGGCCUGGCUCCCCAGAUGCUGGGCCUUCCUUCCUCUUUCUGGGAAAAGGGGGAGCCGCCCCAUAGGCCCUGGGAGCUUGCCCAAAGGCCUCCACGCCUGGAUCCUGCACCUGAGCCGUUGAGCAGGGGAGGAAGUGCCAGUUCAGGGGGCAAACUCAGGCUUGUCCCCCUCUGCCAGCUGCAGAGUGGAGGAUUAUGCAUCCACAUCCUUGACGUCAGGCGUGGCCAUCUGUCCCCCCUCCACUGGGGACGGGGUGGCUCAUCAACAACGGGAAUGUCUUUCUCGGUUUUGGAGGCUGGAAGUACAAGAUCGAGGUGCCAUCGGGGUCAGGUUUUGGGGAGACGCAGACGCUGUGACCACAGCACCACGAGGCCUCGCUUUGACCAGCGAUAUGCAGCGAGCCGAGGUGGAGAUGAGCCUGCACGACAGCCGAGCCCUCUGAGCCCUCCGAGCUGCUGGGCGACCCUGGGUAGCCUGUGAACCCCGGGGGCUGAGCCAAGCGCAGCCAACCCCAGGCUGCAUCUGCUGAAUCCCAGCAAGCCACAGACAGGAGGCCCAAUCUCAGGCGCUUCCCGGGAAUGCCACUCGGAUGGCGGGACGGCCUGUGCCCAGUCACCAGGCAGCAUUGUGGCUGGCAGAGGCGCUCUCUGCUGAAGUGAGGAGAAAAGCAGUUGAGGGGCGACCGGUUAGCACAGAGUGGCUGCAGGGGUAGCACCACACCGACCCUCCAGGCUGGGGGACCCGGAACAACCCUAAAUCGCUCCUCACCUCAAGCUUCGAAGAUCCCUUAGGCCCAGAGCAUUCCAGAGAGGGUCCCUCUCCCCUCCUGGGCCACCUGCCACCUGCUCCCGGGUCCCUUGCACUCAGCUUAGGCACCUCAAGGAAGCCCUCCAAGGAGAGCUGAAUGGACGAAUGGAUGGGGAGGACUGCCCGGGAGGAGCCACUCGGGGUGGGGGGGCACACGCAGAGGCCACACUGUGCUCUACUGCCCGACUCCUGCCCGUGUCCCCUGCUUGCGGGGCCCCAAGGAAGGCACUGAAGGAGGGCAUCCGAUGACGUGCUCCCCACAGGGUGGCGGCCCCCCUCCUGGCCUCUCCAGCACAGGGUAUGCAGGGGGUGUGCAGAGGGUGGGUGUGCAAGGACGACGGGACCUCUGGCAGGGGGCAUCCUGGCUCCCCCAGAGGGCUGCCUGGGCCAGAGCCAGGUCACCACCGUGCUUUCUGAACCAGCUCACCGGCCGACAGGUGUGGGUCCUCAUCUGAGGUGACCCCUGGGGUCACCUCCACGCCUCCGCCCAUCUCCCCAGGUCCUUAAGCUACCCAGUUCCAUCAUCCGCCCCUCCUCUCCCCCUGCGGGGAGCUGCCACAGGCUCUCCACCCCUCACAGGCCCUGUCGUGGCUCAUCUGGACCAAGUGUCCUGGCUCCCACUGGCUCCCCAGCCAGGUCUCCCCUCCCGGGCCCACAGCCACGGCCACAGGGCUGCAGAUCCUAGGGCAGCUCUCCUCAUGCUUCCAUGUGCUCUCUGUGCCCAGUGGCCACACAGGCAGGGGCUGACCCCUGGGCAUGCGUCUGGGGACGGAGAUGCCCUUCCCCGGGGUUGGCAGACACGUCAGGGCCUGGGUCCUCUAGCAGACAAAAGGUAUGUGUGAGCGCAGCUUCGCCACUCAGCUUCCCCUCCCUUCCCUCCUUCCUUCCAUCCUUCCUAAGCCUUGUCUGUACUGGGUUCUGCACUGAAGCCCUGUGGACCCAUUGGGGAGCAAGCCCAUGCCCUGCCUUCAUGAGGUCUACAUGGGCUUGUUGGGGGGAUCAAGUCAGUCGGUCCCUAGGAUGUGCCAGGGCCUGGCAUGGAGGGAAAGAUAUAGAAGCAUUUGUUGUUAUCAUGAACAAGCACCCACCCUGUCCAUGCCGGCAGAGCCCUGCCCUCCUCGGUCCCACCAGCCUGUGGACGUUUGCAUGUCUUGAUGUAGGAAAAGAUGUUAGGGUUCAAUGCCAAUGGCCAAGGAAGAAUUCCUGAGACGUCUUUGGUCCAAAGAACGUGGUCUUAUUAAAGCACAGGGACAGGACACAUGGGCAGGAAGAGCUGCCCAUAAUAUCCUUUCAAGUUGGGAGGGGGUUAGGGAGAGGGUAAGUCUCUAAGGAAUCUUGGAAGCAAGGUUCCCAGGACCUUGAGGGGGGCGCGCUGCUGUUGGGGAAGGUCAUUUAUUACCAUCUAAUAAACCUUAAGCAGGAGACCUUCAGAUGCAUAUCAGUGGCUCUUAUGUUUGGGGGGUGAUUGUCAACAUGUAUCUUGGGGGUUUAGAGAUAAAGGAAAUUUUUUUUUUUUUUUUUUUUUUUUUUUAGAUAAAGGAAUUUUCUAAAGGAAUUUUUAUAGGUUAUGGACUUACAGGAUCCUGGGGGUCGGGCUAGGAUUGCCUCUUGCCUUCAGCAAAACAUGAACAUCGAGGCAGCUGAGUCCCUAGAGGAAGGUCACUCUGCCUCUUUCAAGGACUUGUCCGUGGGCUGUAGGUAGUAAGGAAGUUUAAUAAUUUUUCUUCUGCCUUUGUUUCCCACACCAGCCUGAUCUGAGCCCAGCCUGGAAGGCAGGAGCACUGUCUUACUUCCCUCUUCCUCCUGAGAGCCCUCACAGGGGCCAGAUUGCUGCGCUGCAUGGAGAGAGCCCCGUGGGGCCCGGAGCCACCCCCAGGACAGGUCCCCCACCAUUGGGGUUGGGGAGCUUCUCCCCUAAGGGUCCUGGGAUCCUGCCCAGAGCCUGGCCCCAGGACAGGAGUCCAGCGUGCUGGGGGAAGUGCUGCCAACGGUGGACAGACUUCAUUGUGUUCCUUGCAGGGGGCGCAGCCCUACCUUGCCUCUUGGAAGAGACCUGGAGCAGAGCUAGGCCUUUGCAGCAGGAGACCAGGGAUGCCAGGAAGUCGGGGCUCAACCACCAGCUCCUUUCUCAGGGAAAAGGGGGGGGCAGCUCCCAGGCAAAGGCCAAGCCCUGGUCCUGCUGAGGGAACCCUGGGUGCAAAUGAAGUGUUUAGUUGUGGGCCCAGCCGGCAGGCAGCCCGCACAGGCGGUGAGCCUUCCCUUUAUCAUCUGCAGCAAAGCAUUUACAGUCAAUAAACGGGCUAAUUAAUUCUCUUCAAAGACCUCUCAAUUAUUCAUCCAGGGCUACAGAGAGAACAAUUAGAGCAUCUCCGCUCAGGGCUCUGGAAGUGGAGGCAAGGCUGAGCCACAGAGCUGGGCCCAGGGCUGCACAGCCUGGGGUCUCCAGGGACCCCGUCCCCAACACAGGCCUUGUCUCUGGGGUACAGCAGGAUGGAUCCCCUCUUCUCCCUCCAACUUGCAAGCAGCUGGGAUCCUUAGCCUCACUCCUGGUGGUGGUGGGGGGGGGCGCAGAAAUCCUGAGCCCUGAGUGACUUCUGUCCAACAGCCCAUCUGAGCCGACUUGUGGACACAGAGCCAGGCUGUGGGCAGGCAGCCUCCCUGGAGGGGGCCAGGGACCCCCACUGGACCUGAGCUGAGCCCUCUGGCCCUCUAGGAAAGCAUCCCGCUGGGAGGAGGGGCAGAGGUCAAGGAGAGGAGAGCCAUCCGGCCAGAAGCUGCGGGCCAGGCUGGGUGGAUGUGACACCCCACCAACUGCCGGGGAGGGAAGUCACCCUUGGAGAGCUGGAGCCCAGGGAGGGCCCUCGGGUCCCCUGCGGAGGCACCCUGGUGCCCCAGCGGGGCUCCUCCAAGGCGGGGCACAGCUAGCUCCCCAGAGUUGCCCAAGUCCCCGCAAG
rnacentral:lncRNA from 1 species